UCCAGACUCCUACGGGAGGCAGCAGUGGGGAAUAUUGCACAAUGGGGGGGACCCUGAUGCAGCGACGCCGCGUGGGUGAAGGAGUAUUUCGGUAUGUAAAGCCCUAUCAGCAGGGAAGAACAAUGACGGUACCUGACUAAGAAGCACCGGCUAAAUACGUGCCAGCAGCCGAGGUAAUACGUAUGGUGCAAGCGUUAUCCGGAUUUACUGGGUGUAAAGGGAGCGCAGGCGGCGCGUUAAGCCUGGUGUGAAAGCCCGCGGCCCAACCGCGGGACUGCAUUGGGAACUGGCGCGCUGGAGUGCCGGAGGGGUAGGCGGAAUUCCUAGUGUAGCGGUGAAAUGCGUAGAUAUUAGGAGGAACACCAGUGGCGAAGGCGGCCUGCUGGGCUUUUACUGACGCUGAGGCUCGAAAGUGUGGGGAGCAAACAGGAUUAGAUACCCGGGUA
rnacentral:rRNA from 1 species